rnacentral:rRNA from 1 species
UACGAAGGGGGCUAGCGUUGCUCGGAAUUACUGGGCGUAAAGCGCACGUAGGCGGCUUUCUAAGUCGGGGGUGAAAUCCUGGAGCUCAACUCCAGAACUGCCUUCGAUACUGGAGAGCUUGAGUCCGGGAGAGGUGAGUGGAACUGCGAGUGUAGAGGUGAAAUUCGUAGAUAUUCGCAAGAACACCAGUGGCGAAGGCGGCCCACUGGGCCGGUGCUGACGCUGAGGCGCGAAGGCGUGGGGAGCGAACGGG